GAUAAUUAGUGAGAGAGGAGCUUAGGGAUUUAUGCAGUUAGGCCAGAAGUUAAUAUUAUAUGUAGUAGGGACCUAUGGUGGCAUAAACAACGCCCGGACCGAGAAAGCAUGCACUAGAAAGACGCCACCAUAGGAAAAUCCAGUAGCGAUGGUGAUCCGGAAACAUACAGACGUCUACACACAAUGGUAAACAAACAACAGGUAAACAGGUCAUCUAAACGCAAAAACCGGUCAUGCGGAUAGACAUCAAAAUGUUGAAUUGAACUGGUAUUUGAGACUUAAAUCUUCAGAAUAUUAUUUCAUAAAACUGGUUGAUAAAUCGAAGUGGAAGUCUUUAGGAAUGGCGAGUAAACAGUUGUGUCUCUUUGGAGAAACGAU
rnacentral:lncRNA from 1 species